GAAGAUCUUUAGGUGCCUCAGCCACCCGAGACUCGGCAUAUUCACUCAUAUCCCCAUAAAAAUAAGUGUUGGAAGACUGGACGAUGUGACUGGCUUCAACCCCUGCAGUAGUUCUUCGGCAUGUAGGGAUUCCUGUAAAAAAAGUGACCGUAUUCAGCAGCUCUGAAACUGGUAAACAAUACACUAUCAAAUAGUUCCUCACAUGCAGCUCAUCUAAUGUUUUAAACCUUAUCUCUUGUCCGUGUAAUAUAGUGGGCAAAACCAGUAGACUGAUAAGAACGUUUAUUAUAGUACUAAAGAGUGCUGUAAGGAGAAAUGACCCCAAAUCCCCUAUUGCAAAUCAUUUUAAUGAGGCCGGAGUUUUGCCGAAAAUCUCCCCACUGCCAGACCAUUUUUUUAAAUUCCCUUAAUUUUGUGGCUAGAGUCAAAUACUUUCUGUGACACACAUCAGAGUCAAAUACCUUCUAGAACAAACUCCAUGUCCGGAUAGGCAACCGAAAUGAAUAAUUAAUGUAUGUGUGUUAUUAAACAGAGGAGGAAGUAAAAUGUGUGCAAGUAAUAAACAUUUCAUAACAAUUAUGGCUGGAUUAUUAUCCUUACACUUUCAAAAAUACGAGUCGAUUAAGACAUGGGAGAGAUGAAGAAUUUUGUCAAAGAGAUUUAUUUAUAGACUAAUACAAAAUCAGUAGCGUAAUUCGGUACGGGCGGCAUUUUACCGGGGCGCGCGCCCAGGGCGCCAUACAAGCUAGAACCGCCACAAACACUUGAAACACAUAGCCAAACUGCAGACAAAAAUGCUUUCUGUUACUAAGAUCAGUGAAAUGUAGGCUAAAAUCACAAUGUAGUGAAGAGCAGAAAUCUCUACUAGCAAGCAACUCGCAGCAAUGAAGAACGCGAAGGGGGAGAGAAUUCUGUCGGGGGAGAUUUUCGGCACAACACCUGUCACGUUCUAUACAGCAGAUAAACCGUUCACGUAGUGGUGGUAAUCUUGAACGUAGUCUUCUACAGACAGCAUGCAGGUGGAUAGUAUAUUUAAAAACUCUACCCAUCAGGCAUGAAUUAAACAUUGUUAUUGAAGUGUUUUCUGUAAAUUGCCUGUUUUGGUGUUCUGUUUUUCUAGUCUAGUGGUAUUUCUAGCUCCCUUACAAUCCUGUGUUAUUUGUUCUGAGGAAAUGUUCACAUGAUAUAUGUAAAAGCAAUAAUUUAUGAAUCCUAGAGGAAGACCUGGUUCAGUCUACUUUCCAACAGACACUGGGAGACAAAUUCUCCUUUCAGCAGGACACUAACCUAAAAUACAAGGUGGACUCCAGUCAAGUUGUAGAAACAAGGAUGAUCAAUGGAAACAGGAUGCACCUGAGUUCAAUUUUGAGUCUCAUAGCAAAGGGUCUGAAGAUAAGUGAGGUAAUUAUAUUUUAUUUUAAAUUUGCAAACAUUUCUAAAAAGUGUUUUCACUUUGUUAUUAUGGGGUAUUGUGUGUAGAUUGAUCAGGGAGAAAAUGAAUUUAAUCCAUUUUAGAAUAAGGCUGUAACGUAACAAAAUGGAAAAAGGGAAGGGGUCUGAAUACUUUUGGAAUGGACUGAGGCACGCAUCUAGGUGCCGCUUUUAUGCAUGGUUGCAGUAAUGCAUAAACAUUAAAUACUGGAUAAUCAAUUUAAAAUGAAUCAAUGAUGAGGUCUUCUUUGCAUAUUGUUUAUGGCCAGAGUGUGUGGUAAACAUAAUCUAAUUUCCAUUCCAAUUCCAAACACUGCAUCAUCAAUGCGACCGAGAUUGUCACAAUGCUGACGCAUCACAUGGAACUACAGAACACAAGAGAUAAGUUCAGAAAUGUCAAGAAUUCAACAGUUCUUGACUGACAAACAAUGAGAGAGACCGCAUUAUUAUGGCAAGCUUUUCAUUCAUCCUCCCUGAAGACAGACAUUGUUCCAUUAAGGACAACAAAGUCAAUUCAGGGGUCCCUCAUGAAUUUGCUAUCAGAAAAGGGGUCCCCAGUCACAUAAAGUUUGAGAACCCCUGGUCUACGGCCCUGAGAGCCUCCAACCAACCUGAUUUCCAUGUGGGUGAUGCUUCAACCAAGAGAAAGAUAAUUACCAUUACUAUUGAUGCUACCAGCCUGGAUCAGUCUGCAGAGAUGUCUACCUCUAACACUGAUGACAACAUAAUGUCUUCACCUGACACCAAGCAGAAGAAAUAUAGAACCGGAUUCUUCACAGCUCUCCAGAGAGUUUUUAGAAGCCUGCUAAAGUGGCUUCCAUGAAAGUGGGAAACAUCCAGAAGGAUGAGAACAUCACCUCUCGAUGCUCGCGGCUGCUGUUUCUCUCCUUUCCCCCCCAUCCCUCCUUUCACUCUACCCCCCCACCACCUGUUUUAUCUUCAGUAAAUGUCUUGUUUUGCUA